AGAGAUGAAAGAAUUAAAAUUUGCAAUCUACAUGUAACCUAUUAUCAAAGUUGAGUGAGAUACUCAACAAUGAUAGCACAUGAAGUCUAAUGUAGUAUGUAUAACUAAAAACUUGCCCUUGAAGCCCAUUGCAUUUAGUGUCCACGUGAGUAAUUCGCUUCUUGCACAAAUAGCCUCUAACAAUGAUGAUCUCUGCCCAUUUCCGCUUCUUGCGCACAUAGCCACCUCGCUUGCACGUAUAGCCAAAUCGAUUUUGUUCAAUAGUAGCCACUAUCCAGAAUAUGGUUGUUUGAGAUACCCUUCUUUGAUGUUGUAUCAUCAUUUGCACUGUGCUUCCAUUCCGGCUCCAUAUAAAGAUGUUCCAUCAGUUCAUGCGUCUAUAAGAAUUAUAAGAGGUUCGCAAAAUGCUAAGCAAUUGCACUGUCCUAAGAAGUACGAGUGCACUAUUUUUAAGCUCAUUUUCGCAUGGCCUCCCUUGAUUAUCACUUGAUUCCAUUGCAUGAAUCCCUACCUCAGUUGUCCUAUUACCUUGUUGCAUCAAGGUUUUAACCCAUUGUGUUUCCAAAGUGCCCAAGAAAUAUUGCCAAAGUAGCCAUAAAAAGCAUGUUGCCCAGCAUUGCCUAGUGUGGUGAAACGCGUGCCAAAAACUGUGUGUCGCUAGGUCCCCAGCGAGAAGGAGUUGGCGUCUUACCUUGUGUCGCCUGGUUAAUGAUCUCAUUGUUGGUUCAGCUGGGCGUGGUCUACAGCAAUGGAAAUCACUAUGUGUCGCCAGGUCUCUAGCGAGAUGGAGCUGGAGAAAUUCUUGGCGUCGCAUGGUUGUUGAUCUCGCUAUUGGUCAAGCUGGGCGAGGUCUAAAGCGUGCUGGGGAGAUCGCUAAGCCUGUUGAUGUAGUUCGUGUUUGUUGUUGUGCCACAAAGACCAAUGCCUGGGACAGUAGGCCACGUAGCCAGGGUUGUUUCAUGUUGUAAAUGUUCAUUUGCCUCCUUAAUUACAUGCUUGUGCAUGCCAUCUUUCCUCCUCCUUCAAGGGAAUGAGCACAUAGUGCUAAUACCACCCAUAGAAGUUGUAAUAAAUGGCAAGGCAUGAGUACAAUACUGUCUCCUGCAAAAAAGAACACAAGGUUAGUAGAAAAAAUGAUCAUCAUAUUCCCUUCUCAAAAGGAUUUGAAUAUGAUGAUCCAGUGAUGUCUCUCAUGCCCUACUAGCCCUCCCCCCCCCCUCCUUUUUAGUUCCUUGCUACCUUCACAAAUCAUACCCUCAUCCUUCAUGAUUGCUCCAUUCUUAUCAAUUACAAUUUGGCUUGGCAGUCCUUACCCUAACAUAAGGUAUUUGAAGCUUGUCACUGUUUAAUAUUUUCCUACCUUCUGAUUCCAAUUCCCAGAAUAAUUGCACCUGAAUUAUAUGUUCUUGAUCCAAUGUCAAGUUAGUUAAGUGAUCUGCUAACUUGUUUCCUUCCCUUAGCACAUGCACUAUCUGGAAAACACCUUUAGACAUAAGAGCUUUGAUUUCAUCCACUUAAUUAGCAAUGUUUCAAGGUGGUUCUCAUACCUCAUCUAACACUUUCUUCAUCAAUAAUGAGUCAGUCUCAAUUAUACAAGGAGAAAACUACAUUUGAACACUACUAGAAACACAACAUUUUCCCACAGAAAUUUCUCACGGAUAAAUUGUUAGUGGCAAUUCCCACCGAAAUUCAAUGGGAAAAGUGCAAUUUCUUUUUCACGAAUAAACAAUAACGUUUCCCAUUGACUAUCCGUGGGAACAUUUUUGCGCAAAAAUGCGCGUAAUUUAGUUCCCUCCGAUUCGGUGGGAAAAAUUAUUAAAAAAAUAACUAUAUAAAAUAAAAAAUUAUUUUCGAGGGAAAAUAGUGGAAAAAUUAAAAAAAAUAAAAUAUUCCUAUAGAUUCCCGUAUGGACGAAAAAUUUUGAAUUUUACCGCAAAUAUUUCCCACGAAAGUAUUGGAAAAGAGUAUUAUUAUUCACAGCACAUGGUGGGGCUAUAAAGUUGCUGGAAACAUGGCUAAGUUUUUAUUUUUUUCAAAGUUUCACGAAAAAGUAGCGACAAGAUUCCCUCUCUUUUUUUUCGAAAUCCCUCUUUUUAUUGCCAUCUAUAUUUAGUUUUCCCCUAUUUUCCCUCCUCAUAUCUUAUUAUAUGCACUUCAUACCCCAAUCAAAUCCCUGCCCAAGUAAAAUCUUCUAUAUUUUCAUUUCUCUCUCUCUCUCUCUCUCACACACACUCACUCUCUCUCUCUCUCUUUGUGUGUGUGUGUGUGUGUCUUCUCCAAAAAAUAAUUUGUUGAUUUAAUACCAUAGAAGAUUAUAUCUAGGAUGAUAGACAUCUUAAGACAAGGUAUAUAAUCUACUUUACUUUCAAUAUGUAUUUAGGACAUUACAAAUUUGGAUUUCUCCAGGUGCUAUAUGACGUGUAUGUAUUAGUAUGUUCCUAUUUAUUUUUAAUUUUCCUGUACUGGUAUGAAAUUUCUUAUCUACUCUUCUUUGAUUUUUGAGAGGUUAACUACUCAGAAUUUUAUAUCUCUUGGUCUGAAUUCUUGUGGUUGUAGCCAAAGAAGAAUUGGAGUACAUAAAGAUGGAAACUUAUUUAAGAGUAAAGUUAUUAGCACUUGCAUUUGGGGAAGCAGCAUACUUUAUUCUUUUGUUAAAAUCAAUAUUCAUGUAUUUCAAGUGGACUUUGUGUUAGAUAAAUUUUACUUUAUUUAUGUGUUUUAAUUUAAGGAGUUUGUAAUGAGAUAUUAUUUUACAAUAGUAUAGUUCUUGAUUUUAUGAUUA